rnacentral:lncRNA from 1 species
UAUAUGGUUUGAUAUUCGAAUGAGAAUAGAGAAAAUAUGGGUUACAAAAUUCCAAAACCCUAGAAAUGAAUUAAUAUGUACUUGAAGGAAUAUUAAGAAUAAGGUAUUACGAUACCUGUAAAUUCGAUGUGAACUGAAUAGUCUAAGAAAUGUUAUAUAAGUACAUAUGAAAAUUUUAUUAUUGGAGAUAAGAUUUCAC